rnacentral:rRNA from 1 species
AUCUCUGUAGAGUCUGCAUAUCAAUAAGCGGAGGAAAAGAAACUAACAAGGAUUCCCUUAGUAACGGCGAGUGAAGCGGGAAGAGCUCAAAUUUGAAAUCUUCAAGGUUUUACCUUGACGAAUUGUAGUUUAAAGAAGUGUUUUCUGUUGAAGUUUCGGUAAAAGUUCUUUGGAAUAGGACAUCAUAGAGGGUGAGAAUCCCGUAUUUGACCGUUAUUUUCAGCUGUGUGAUACACUUUCAAAGAGUCGGAUUGUUUGGGAAUGCAGUCCAAAAUGGGUGGUAAAUUUCAUCUAAAGCUAAAUAUUGGCGAGAGACCGAUAGCGAACAAGUACCGUGAGGGAAAGAUGAAAAGAACUUUGAAAAGAGAGUUAAACAGUACGUGAAAUUGUCAAAAGGGAAGCGUUUGACACCAGUGUUGUUUCUCGAAAAUCAAUUAAAAAUGGCUUGAUUUUGUGUUGUAUUGACCUUAAAAGCUUUCUUCACUUUUUUCAUGUCUUUUUUAAUGCACUUUUCGUUUAACAAGUCAACAUCAGUUUCUUUUGUUGUAAAAAGGUCAUUGGAAGGUGGCUUUCUUUUCGGAGAAAGUGUUUAUAGCCUUUGACUUCUGCAAUCGGAGAGACUGAGGUCUGCAGCGUAGAUCCUUCUGGAUUAGAUUCAUUUGUGCUAAGUUACAACCGUUUAUAGACAACUUGUUGACUAUAUUCUAUCCUGUAGCUUACUCGCUUAUGUAAUUUUACCUACGCUUAGGAUGUUGAAGAUGUAGCACAUCAU